AUUGAACGCUGGCGGCAGGCCUAACACAUGCAAGUCGAGCGGAUGAAGGGAGCUUGCUCCUGGAUUCAGCGGCGGACGGGUGAGUAAUGCCUAGGAAUCUGCCUGGUAGUGGGGGAUAACGUCCGGAAACGGGCGCUAAUACCGCAUACGUCCUGAGGGAGAAAGUGGGGGAUCUUCGGACCUCACGCUAUCAGAUGAGCCUAGGUCGGAUUAGCUAGUUGGUGGGGUAAAGGCCUACCAAGGCGACGAUCCGUAACUGGUCAGAGAGGAUGAUCAGUCACACGGAAAGGAGAAAGCGGCCCAAACCCCUACGGGGGGCCGCAGGGGGGAAUUUGGACAAAUGGGCGAAACCCUGACCCAGCCUGGCCGGGUGUGGGAAAAAGGUUUUCGGUUUUUAAACCACUUUAAGUUGGGAGGAAGGGAAGUAAGUUAAAACCUUGCUUUUUUGCCUUUACCAACAGAAAAAGCACCGGCUAACUUCUG
rnacentral:rRNA from 1 species